AUGAUUUUUUUUUAUUUGAAUGGAAAUUAUUAUAAUCUUCUCUCAUCAGCUUCACACACGAAAAAAAAAAAACUUCUCUCAUCAGCUUCACGCACGCAAAGACCAAACCGAACCCUAGCUUUCAAUUCACCAAAUCGAUCGAACUCGUUCAAGAAAUCUUCUCUGUUUCAGCAAAUCGUUCACCCUCUCACUCGAUGGAACUCGUUCUCUCUCUCUCUCUCUCUCAUUCUCUCGAACCCUACCCUCCGAUCUGUUUCACCGAAUCACAAAUUCCAAUCCCUAAUUGAAGAAUCAAGGCUUACUGAACCCAAAUCGAAGCUCAGUGAAACGAAUCGAAGCUCUCUCAGCUCGUUCCGCUCCCUCCGACCGAAAACACAAACAGGAAAUGCAGAGCCAUGUUGGAUGAAACCGAACCGGCUGAAACCGGAACUGACUUAUGAACCGAUAUGGCUAAAAUCGAUAUAGGAAGAAGCCCGCGAGAUCCUUAUGCGCGAGUGUUACAAAGGUCUAGAUGACUAUAUCAACCUAAGUGGGUUUACUGGCCAAAAGGAACCGUGUUUAUUUCUUCGGUAGAAACUCAGAAGAUAGCCUAUGUUGUUGAUGCAUAUGCCUCUUAUGGGAGGUCUGAUGCUUUGAAUGGAAAGUCAUUGUGAAAAAAAAAAUUAUGCAAAGGACAAGCAUGAUGUUGUCUAGUUUUGGCUGGAGAAAGGCAAGCUCCAUGAGUAUCUUGUGUGCACACAUUAUUUUGAUGGAAGUUGAACAUCUUAUUUAGAAUUUUUAUUGUUACUGGCCAACAUGAUUAAUUUGGAGUUAAGUGUCAUGAUAUUUAAAGUUAGUAAUAUCCAUUACGAUGCCAAUGUGGAUGGAUGGCGGGAUCUUGAUUGGAGUAGCAAGGCCAUACAUAUUGCUGCUAGAAACCAAACAAAGUGGUCACAUUAGGUUGCUAAGUAGUCUUUGUUUACCCUUCAGAAAUGGUAGAAAAAUAGGUUGAGAUUGUAAGGGAAGAAGGAUUGAAGAUAUCUCAACCAGCUCUUGAUCCAAAUUCGACAGAGAUACAUCAUAGAAUUACAGUUAGAGCUAGGACCAACAAAGUGCAUAGGUGUUCAAUGAUCUCACGACAUUAACAGAGGAGGAGCUGUAUGAUUUGCGAGACCGCUGGGCAACUUGUUUUCUUGACCUAUAUAAUCCUGAGGUAGAUUAUGAUGAUGCCGACGAGAAAGAUUAGGAGCUAGCUAGGUUUGUGUGAAGUUACAAUGGACUACUUAUGAUGAUGUUUUAAUUUGUAUUUUGGAUGGAUUAGUAUUAAUUAUUAUGAUGUUUUGUAUUUUGGAUUUCAAUGUUUGUACUUUAAUGACAUUAUUACUAUAUAUAUGUUGAAUGUUGAAUUUGGCUA